rnacentral:rRNA from 1 species
AUGGGGUGGAUUGAGCUGCUGAAGCCGGUGGCGGCCAUGAUUGCCUUCGACACGCUCUUUGCGGUGAUGACAGUGCUUGUGAAGAAGGCGCUCGAUGGCGGCCUCAACCCCGUCGUUCUUAUCGCUCUUCGGCAGCUUGUCGGUGCAGCUUUCCUGGCGCCGAUUGCCUACUUCAAAGAAAGGAAUGCAAGACCAAGAUUCACAAAGGAGAUCUUUGCCUACUUGUUCAUGAGUGCGCUACUUGGGGCACUAUUCGCUCAGUAUCUGUUCUUCUUGGGCUUGAGCUACACCACUGCAACACUGGCUGCAACUGUCUCCAAUAUGACCCCAAUCUUCACCUUCCUGAUCGCCGUCCCUCUUCGGUCGGAGACAGUAGAUGUGAGGAGCAAGGCGGGUCUGGCGAAGAUUGCAGGAACACUAGCGUCUGUCAGUGGUGCGAUACUGCUGAGCCUGUACAAGGGUGCUGCCCUGACUCACACAGCAUCUUCGACCCAAGAACACGGUGAAAAUGGCACAACGGGCAACAGUGGCAGCAAGGGAAGAUGGUUGCUGGGCUCGGCGUUGCUGCUGCUGAACUGCAUCACGUUCUCAUUAUGGAUGCUGCUGCAAGGGAAGCUCACCAAGAAGUACCCUGCAGUCAUCUCCAGCACUGCAUUCAUGGCCUUGAUCAGCUCACUGCAAGCAGGGGCACUGGCAGUCACCACCCAAAGGCACCUCUCAGUUUGGCUGCUCCGAGGAAGCAUACAGAUUGCAACCGUUCUUUUCGCGGGAGUGGGAGUAUCGGGGAUAGGGUAUGUGCUGAUGACCUGGUGCAUCGAGAAGAGAGGGCCGGUGUUCACUGCAGGCUUCUUGCCUCUCAUUCAGAUCAUUGCUGGAGUCCUUGAUCUCCUCGUCCUUCAUGAACAGCUUUACGUGGGAAGUGUGGUAGGUGCUGCUCUUGUCAUUGGAGGCCUCUAUCUUCUGCUCUGGGGGAAGAGCAAGGAAGCAUCGUCAGCUGCCAUUUUAUCAGAGAAAGGACUGGAAGAAGAUAAGGAGACACAGGAAAAUUUGUGA